rnacentral:lncRNA from 1 species
GAGCAUUCCCAUACAUUCAACUCUAUACAAUUUCCAUUUCUUUGAUCCCCGUCUUUUUUCUUUUCUUAUUGAUUUUUACAUCCACACAACCAUGAGCCUUUUCUUUGUUUUUUUCUUUCUUUUCUUUUUCUUUGCUCUAUGGUUUCAAGGGUGAUUUCUUUUUCUUGUUUCUUAUCAUACUUUCACCCUUUCAUAAAAACUCAUUUUUCCAAGUUUCUAAUCAACUCUUUUUACUUUACUCUCCCCAACUUUAGAUUCCAA